rnacentral:rRNA from 1 species
GACUCUAGAGAUAGAGUGGAGGUUAUCCGGGAUACAGGUGGUGCAUGGUUGUCGUCAGCUCGUGUCGUGAGAUGUUGGGUUAAGUCCCGCAACGAGCGCAACCCUUGUCUUUAGUUACCAUCAUUCAGUUGGGGACUCUAGAGAGACUGCCGGUGAUAAACCGGAGGAAGGUGGGGAUGACGUCAAAUCAUCAUGCCCCUUAUGGCCUGGGCUACAAACGUAAUACAAUGGCGUAUACAAAGGGAUGCGAAAGGGCGACCUGGAGCAAAACUCACAAAGUACGUCUCAGUUCAGAUUGGAGUCUGCAACUCGACUCCAUGAAGGCGGAAUCGCUAGUAAUCGCGGAUCAGCAUGCCGCGGUGAAUACGUUCUCGGGGUUU